CAGCCGCCACGGGAAUACGAAGGGGGCUAGCGUUGCUCGGAAUUACUGGGCGUAAAGGGAGCGUAGGCGGAUCGUUUAGUUGGGGGUGAAAUCCCGGGGCUCAACCUCGGAACUGCCUUCAAUACUGGCGAUCUUGAGUAUGGGAGAGGUGUGUGGAACUCCGAGUGUAGAGGUGAAAUUCGUAGAUAUUCGGAAGAACACCAGUGGCGAAGGCGACACACUGGCCCAUUACUGACGCUGAGGCUCGAAAGUGUGGGGAGCAAACAGGAUUAGAUACCCCAGUAGUCCCUGUCUCUUAUAC
rnacentral:rRNA from 1 species